UCAGUGAGAGCUCUUCUGCAGGACUUGGAGGAACUAAAGAGCGUUAAUGCAUCACUGAGAAAAGAAAAUCAUAGUCUGAGAGAGCAGCUCAACACAGCCAGGAACGGUGGGGAGAGUGUGCGCGGCCGGUCUGUGCGCCCCAGCUGUGAUGCAGAGUUCGCCCGUGCGCUCAAGGUUUUCUACCACAGUAUGACCUCAAUCCGGGCUCAGCUACAGCGUCUGCGCAGACACAGGCCAAGUGAGGAGUCUGACCUGCUGGGGCUCCGAUUGUUUGCAAAUGAGCAGAGUCAUCUGCUGAGAGACUUCUCAGAGCAGCUGGAACAGUGUGUGUCCACGCUAAAACAAGAUGUUGCCGCCAUUGUCCGCCGGAAACGAGAGCAAUCGGGAAUCUGGUCAUGACUGAUAAAUUGCCUGCUGAUUUCAUCAAGUAACAAGGUGAAUGUGUCCAGUUUAUUUUAUUGGAGAGUUUUCUAGUGAGUGGUGGGUUCAAAAUCGGUCCUAUUUGACAUAAUUAGAUUAAUCAUUCUCCAAAGGACCAGCAACACUGUUUUUCUUUAAGAAGGGUCAGAUGUGUUCUCUCUAGGUGGGGUAGCAAGAGUAGAUACAAGUUUAGUUUCACAUAAUCAACACACUGACAAAAACAGUGAAGACUAUAAAAAGGUUUAUUAGACUGCAUGUAAAACAAUCCCAAACAGCAAAUAAAUUAAGUGACAAAUACAACUCAAGUUUAAGAAUUCACAAUAUUAUGCUUUAGAGCCAUCAGUGAUGUCAUUUUCAAGCUCCUGCAGUUCAUUCUGAAGCGCAUCAGAAAUCAAGGCUCUUUUUCCUCAUUAUGGCUGUGGGGAACUGGUAGAGCUAUUUCAUAGGAGAGGUUGAUAGUGUCUCACUGCAAUGUCCAGUUCCAAGGCAAACGCACAACUGUCAGUUAGGACUUGUAACAGUUUAAACAGUUGCUGUAGGUCCAAGAAAAGAGGAGUGACGGCACAUUUACAGGUGCGGCAGAGGCAGGUUAGUCAUCACAUAGGACAGAAUAUGUACAGCAGACAGGAGGAGGGAGGCAGCCAUGAGAGGCCAGAGAGUUAGCUGUGCAUUUGAACUGAAGAGGUAGACAUGAAAACACAAAGCCAGAUGUGGGCAAGAGAGACAACCCACUGGUGUGUGCGUCAGUAACCAAGGUAGAACCUAUGACUCGGUGUUGACUUUUUUUUUUCUUUUACUUUUCCACAACUGUCCAAAACUGUGUGUGUUCAGGCAGAGAGAAGGCUGAAGGUGCAGUUGAGGUAGGUUAACUGGAUCUCAAGGGAAAACGGUAGAUCAUCAUCUGAACUAUGCACUUCCUGUAACAUUUACUGAACAAAUGUAAAAUAAAUGUCUGUGUGUAAAGAACAAUGACUGAAUGCUGCUUCUUCCAGUUGACUGCACCUCCCUGGGCCAGUAAGAACACAUGAGCACGGAGCAUGUACAGUAGCAGUUUCAGUACAUAUCAGGUACAGUAGUGAAACUUACUAAGAGAGAAGUACUCCAACAAAAACCACAGCCCACUUCUCAUCCACAUGGUAUCUAUUGCCAUUAAGUUUGACACUCCAGUCAGACCUCAAGGCUUUGCCAAAUUUGUUAAAAUACUCUAGUUCUAGGCAAAGAAAGGUGCCACAUGUUACACAGUUAAGUAAAAAAAGGUGCCAAACACCAUUCAGGCAUAACAUUAAGGUCACCUGUACAUCUGUAUGCACUUCUGCUCUAACAUCUGGAUGUGAAGCUCAAAAUGUUUGAUUUGCUGAAACUG